UACAAAAUAAAUUAAAUAAUUUUAUAUGAAUAAAUUUGAUUUUUUUAUAUAAAAUAAUAAUAAAGUUAAUAAAAUUUAGUAUAAAAUUAGAAAAAUAAAUAUUUUAAUAUAAUUUGUAUUGAAAAAGAAAAUAUUAUUGUUAUAUAAAAAAUAUUAAUUUUUUAUACCUUUUGUAUCAGGGUUUAUUAAAAUUAAUAAAAUUAAAUUUUAUUUCUCGAAAUAAAAUGAUUUAAUUAAAUAUGAUAGUUAUUGUAUUAAUAAUAUUAUAAAUAAUUAAUUUGUAAUGAUAGGUUUAUCAAAUUUUAUAUAUCUAGUUAUUUUAUAAAUAAAUUUAAUUUAUUUAAAAUUAUAUUAUUAAAUUAAUUAUUUAAUUUAUUAUUUAAUUUUAUUAAUAUUAUUAGGGAUAAACUUAGUAAUAAUUUUAAUAUUUUAAUAAUUAUUAUAUUAUAUUUUUAUAAAAAUAUAAAUUUUUAUUAAUAAAUAAUUUGUAAUAAUUAAAAUUUUAAAUAUAUAAUUUAUAAGUUAAUUUAUUUGAUUAUAAAAUUAUUAAUUAUAAUUAUAUAAAAUUAAUUAAUAAUGAUAAAAUUAGUAAAAUUAAAUUUAAUAAAUUAUUAAAUUUAUUGAUUAUUUAAAGGAAUUAGGCAAAUAAUUUAUUCAACUGUUUAUUAAAAACAUAGUUUAAUAGAUUAUAAUAUUAAAUUAUUUCUGCUCAAUGAUUUUUAAAAUUAAAUAGCUGCAGUAUUUUGACUGUACAAAGGUAGCAUAAUCAAUUGUCUUUUUAUUAAAGUCUGGAAUGAAUGAAUUAAUGAAAUAAUAACUGUCUCUAAAUAAAUAGAAUUUAAAUUUUAUUAUUAGUUAAAAUUCUAAUAUUUAAUUAAAAGACGAGAAGACCCUAUAGAAUUUUAUAAAUAAUUUAAUAUUUAAAUUAUUAAAAAUUUAAAUAUUUUAAAAUUUAUUAUAUUGGGGGGAUAAAAAAAUUUAAAAAAUUUUUUUAAUUUAUUAAACAAAUAUAUUUGAAUUAUUUAUAUCUAAUAUUAUUAAAUUUAUAAUAAAUUACCUUAGGGAUAACAGCGUUAAAUUUUUAGAGAGUUCAUAUUGAUAAAAAUUAUUGCGACCUCGAUGUUGAAUUAAAAUAAAUUAUUAUUGUAGAUAAUAAUAUAAUUUAGUCUGUUCGACUAUUAAAAUUUUACAUGAUUUGAGUUUAGAUCGGUGUAAGCCAGAUCGGAUUCUAUCUUUAAUUUAAUAAAAUAUUUUUGUACGAAAGGACUUAAUAUUUAUAAUAAUUAUUAAAAUAUUUGAAUUAAAUUA
rnacentral:rRNA from 1 species